rnacentral:rRNA from 1 species
AACGGCCGUACCAUGCUGAAUAUACCGGUUCUCGUUAGAUCACCGAAGUUAAGCAUCAUUGGGCGCGGUAAGUACUUGGGUGGGUGACCACCUGGGAACACUGCGUGCCGUU